CCUACGGGUGGCAGCAGUGGGGAAUAUUGCACAAUGGGGGGAACCCUGAUGCAGCGACGCCGCGUGGGGGAGGAAGUCCUUCGGUAUGUAAAGCUCUAUCAGCAGGGAAGAAAAUGAAGGUACAUGUCUAAGAUGCCCCGGCUAACUACGUGCCAGCAGCGGCGGUAAUACGUAGGGGGCAAGAGUUAUACGGAUUUACUGGGUGUAAAGGGAGCGUAGACGGGGUGACAAGUCUGAUGUGAAAGGGCGGGGCUCAACCCCGGGACUGCAUUGGAAACUGGCAUGCUUGAGUGCCGGAGGGGUAAGCGGAAUUCCUGGUGUAGCGGUGAAAUGCGUAGAUAUUAGGAAGAACACCGGUGGCGAAGGCGGCUUACUGGACGGUAACUGACGUUGAGGCUCGAAAGCGUGGGGAGCAAACAGGAUUAGAUACCCUGGUAGUC
rnacentral:rRNA from 1 species